UAUGCAGCGUCUUCUCCGACAUCACGUCUGUUCGGAUUCUCUGCCUGGAAACACCGAGAACUAAUCGGAACCAGCGGCUGACAGACACCAACCGACCUCCCGGGCUGAGAGGGCUCGAUUAGGUGAGGAUGGGAGGAGAUCAGAGUCACGAGACCAAACCUGAGGAGAGACCAGAUGAAGAACCUCCGGAGUGUGAAAGACCCGACAGCGAGGGUCCUGAAGACUCAGCAGGCCAGCUGCCCCAGUGCAUGAUGGGAAACAGGAUGGUGGACGACAUGAGCUUCAUGAUCUCCUGCACCAACUGGUAUUAGACUGGUUCUGGUUCAGACCACCGGACCACCAGGACCCGUUAGAGGACGUUCCUCAGACCCUCUACUUGUCUUUUAUUUGUUUAAAUUGAUCAGUUGUUUUUAUUUCUCUGACUUUGAACAGAAAUAAAGUUUAUUCUUCAUGA